GCCCUUAGAGUUUGAUCCUGGCUCAGGAUGAACGCUGGCGGUAUGCUUUACACAUGCAAGUCGUACGAGAGUUUUUAACUCAAGUGGCGGACGGGUGAGUAACACGUAAGAAUUUGCCUUUAGGAGGGGGAUAACAACUGGAAACGGUUGCUAAUACCCCAUAUGCUUUCGAGUAAAAUGGAUUUUCCGCCUAAAGAGAAGCUUGCGGCUGAUUAGCUUGUUGGUGAGGUAAUGGCUCACCAAGGCGACGAUCAGUAUCUGGUUUGAGAGGACGAUCAGACACACUGGAACUGAGACACGGUCCAGACUCCUACGGGAGGCAGCAGUGGGGAAUUUUCCGCAAUGGGCGAAAGCCUGACGGAGCAAUACCGCGUGAGGGAUGACGGCCUAUGGGUUGUAAACCUCUUUUUUCAGGGAGGAAUCAAUGACGUGUACCUGAAGAAUAAGCAUCGGCUAACUCCGUGCCAGCAGCCGCGGUAAGACGGAGGAUGCAAGUGUUAUCCGGAAUCACUGGGCGUAAAGCGUCUGUAAGUGGUCAAAUAAGUCAACUGUUAAAUCUUGAGGCUCAACCUCAAAAUCGCAGUCGAAACUAUUCGACUAGAGUAUAGUAGGGGUAAAGGGAAUUUCCAAUGGAGCGGUGAAAUGCGUAGAGAUUGGAAAGAACACCGAUGGCGAAGGCACUUUACUGGGCUAUUACUAACACUGAGAGACGAAAGCUAGGGUAGCAAAUGGGAUUAGAUACCCCAGUAGUCCUAGCCGUAAACAAUGGAUACUAGAUGUUGAACAGAUCGACCUGUGCAGUAUCAAAGCUAACGCGUUAAGUAUCCCGCCUGGGAAGUAUGCUCGCAAGAGUGAAACUCAAAUGAAUUGACGGGGAAGGGC
rnacentral:rRNA from 1 species